ACAAAAUGUGUAGGCCGGGGUUUGCGAGGGGCCCUUCUGUCAUCAGGCCAAGCACCUGGAUCCCACACACUUUCCAUCUCGUCUGCAGAAAGACCUGAAGUUUCCAAGACCUGCACCUGCCACUGUGAAAGCACUGUGGCUUUGGGCACUUGUACAGAGAUCUCCUUUACUCCUGAGCAGCAUAUGCUUGGGUCUGGUGUUUCUAACUCAGUGGUCCCAUUCAGUACAGUCUCUUUGGUUGGCCCAUCUACUUCCGGUGUCUCCAGGCUGGAAUCAAGCUCAGUUCUGGCCUCUUUGAUUGUCCCACCUUCUUCGGGUGUCUCUAGGCCCGAAUCAAGCCCAGUUCUGGUCUCUUUGAUUGCCCCACCCUCUUCCUGUGUCUCUAGGCCCGUAUCAAGCCCAGUCGUGGUCGGGUUUCCACCCCCUUCCUCAGGGGCACCCUGGGUGUCCAGAUCCUCGAAACCCACCCCUGUUUUCUCUGUGUCCGGAAUUUCUGCCUUAACCUCUCUCCAAUGCUCGUCCCGGUCGUCCAGCGCAUCGAGGAUGGUGGGUCCCCGUCCAGCCACAGAGCCCGAGCCAAAAAUAAGGUCAGUACGGGAGGCACGGUCCCACACCAGGCGGCCGC
rnacentral:lncRNA from 1 species